ensembl:lncRNA
GGCUUCUCAAGUUGGAUGAGCAUCAAGAUCACCUGCAGAAGUCUUUUAAAAUUUGACAGUCUAUGCAUAGCCCUAGAUCUGCUAAAUGAAUUCCAGGAUCUCCAUGAAACCCAGCAUCCAUGCAAACAUGAUGAGAACUGACUUAAACCCUUAGCAGCUAAUAAGCUAGCUACUAAUUAUUGUCUUUACAAAUUUAACAAAUACAGGCGGGAGUAUUUAGGAAGAUUUCCAGAACAGAGGAAAGAGAUACAGAUAGAAAUGUAGAAAGAAAAGGUUAUAUUUCUGGUAGCAUUUUUUAAGAACAAUCUCUGACCUUUGUAUUUAUCUUUGUAUAUAACUUUAGAUUCUGUACUGUAAAAAAUUAGCACCUUAUGUCUUUUUUGCCCCUAUGCUAUGGAUUUUCAAAUAUGGGAGAAUUAGAAAAUGCUAUGAAUUAUCAUUUCUAUUAUUCCUUGUAGUCUUUUAUCUUUGGUGAGAACAAUUCUCUAGAUACUGCAGAGAUUUUAUAGCUUGUCACGGUUUCUACUAUAUUAAGAAUCAAGUCUAACAAAAUCAGAAUAGAUGCUAAGCCUGGAAACCCACAGGAAACAUGUUAUUCUUCAGUGUUUGCAAAGCACUGAUCAAAAACGUCUCUUCUCUCAAUCUCGCUUUCUUCUUUUCAUUUACUAACUAGGCUUUUGAGCCUCACAAGACUUUGAGAUUUUAUGGAUAUGAAACCUGCUAUCGUUUAGCUUCCUGCCUCUGGGAAUAGUACAGACCGGGUUCCACCAUGUUGGACGGGCUGGUCUUGAACUCCUGACCUCAGGUGAUCCACCCGCCUUGACCUCCGAAAGUGCUGGGAUUACAGGUGUGAGCCACCAUGCCAAGCCUAUCUACUAUUUUAUCUACAUGGAUUCUCACUGUGACACCCAGGCUGGAGUGCAGUGGUAUGAUCAUAGGUGACUACAGUCUCGAAUUCCUGGGCUCAAGCAAGCCUUUCACCUCAGCCUCCCCAGAAGCUGGGAUUACAGGCUCAGUUUCAGACCGGAAUCUAUACCAUCAACUCCCCAGCCAUCGAGCCUUUGAACUGUUCCAUUGACUUUUCUGGGUUUCUAGCCUGAAGAUGGCUGAUUGUGGGACUUCUCACCCUCCAUAGUCAAGUGAGUCAAUACCUUAUGAUAAAUCUCCUUAUAUAUACACAUUUGACCCUUCAACAAUAUGGAUUUGAACUGAAUGAAUGAAUAUACAUGCACAGAUUUUUUUUUUCAACAAAUAUAUUGGAAAAAUUUUGGAGAUUUGUGACAAUUUGAAAAAACUCACAGAUGAGCUGUGGAGUCUAGAAAUCUCAAGAGACUUAAGAAAAAGUUAGGCCGGGCGCGGUGGCUCAAGCCUGUAAUCCCAGCACUUUGGGAGGCCGAGACGGGCGGAUCACGAGGUCAGGAGAUCGAGACCAUCCUGGCUAACAUGGUGAAACCCCGUCUCUACUAAAAAUACAAAAAACUAGCCGGGCGAGGUGGCGGGCGCCUGUAGUCCCAGCUACUCGGGAGGCUGAGGCAGGAGAAUGGCGGGAACCCGGGAGGCGGAGCUUGCAGUGAGCUGAGACCCCGCCAAAACAACCAAACCCGGGGAAAAAAAGAGAACCCCCGACAAAAAAAAAAAAAAAAAAAAAAAAAAAAGAAAAAGUUAAGUAUGUCAUGAAUACAUAAAAUAUAUGUAGAUAUUUGUCUGUUUUAUCAUUGACUACCAUAAAAUAUACAUAAAUCCAUUAUUUAAACAUUACCCCACAAACACAGACCAUACACAGUGACAUUCAGUCAAGAGUAAACAAAUGUAAAGAUGCAGUAUUAAAUCAUAACUGCAUAAAUUAGCUAUAGUAAAUACUAUAUUACUGUAAUAAUUUCACAGCCACCUCCUGUUGCUAUUACCCUGAGCUCAAGUGUUGGGAGUAUUUGCUUAAAAUGCCCUGUGAUGCUAAACUCUUCUGCCAAGCAGUUCGUCUGUUCAGUAAAUUGCAUGUCAUAGUAAAAAGUCAUCUCUCAUGGCUAUUGCUUGUUUUUCAUCAUGUUUAGUGUAAUACCAUAAACCUUAAAUAACACCAUGGGACUCAUAUUAAGUGCCACUAGUGUUGCUGGAAGUGCUCCCAAGAAGCAGAGAAAAUGACAUUAAAAACAAGUUGAAUUACUUGAUAUGCACCCUAGAUUGGUCUGCAGCUGCAGUUUCCCACCAUUUUAGACAAUUCAUCUUGUAAUCAAAUUACAUAAACUUAGAUAUAAAUAAAUACAGUACAGCAUUGUACAUGUAUUUUCUCUUCCUUAUGACUUUCUUAAUAUUUUUUCUCUAUCUUAAUGUAAAAAGACAGUAUACAAUACAUAUAACAUAUAAAAUAUGUGUUCUUCAACCAUGUUAUCAGUAAGACUUCUGGAUAAUACUAGGCCAUUAGUAGUUACAUUUUGGGGGAGUCAAGUUAUACAAAGAUGUUUGCCUAUUUGGGGGGUGAGCUCUGGGAUUAAGGGGUAAGGUGGGUUGGUGCCCCUAACCUCAACUUUUUCAGGAGUCAGCUCAACAAAGUUUACAGAAUUAGAAGUGCUAAAAUUAUAUUAUUAGUCCUACUUUCAUUAUUAUAUUUUAUUUUGUCAUCAAUAACACUAGCAUUCAUUCAAACCCUAAAAGGUUUCUAAAUAAUUGUUUAUCUAGAGCCACAACUGAGAAUAAUGCCUUAGCAUUUUACUUCUUUAUAUCUCCCUUCUCAUAAUUGUGUUUUUUCUUCCCUUUACUUCUGUACUAGUAUUUCUUAUACUCACUCACCGUUCAUAUUUUAAAAGAUACUUUUAUAACUGUAAUUAAUGUCUAUGACUUCUUGGUAUAUAAGUAGUAAGAAAAUUAAAUGUUGUUUACUUUAGUCAUUCACAAUCAAAUUGCUUAAAACUAAUAAGAAAACAAUGGAAAAACUGGGAUGACCAUCUAAAUUAAGCCUCCAAGUCUCCUGAAGGAGUCAUGAGGAAACAUGUACAUACAUUUAAAAACCAAUUUUUAACGUUUAGGAAAUGAAAGUUCCGGUCGGGUGUGGUGGCUCAUGCCUGUAAUCCCAGCACUCUGGGAGGCCGAGGCGGGUGGAUCAUGAGUUCAGGAGUUCAGGAGUUCACCUGGCCAACAUGGUGAAACCCUGUCUCUACUGAAAAUACAAAAAUUAGCCCGGUGUGGUGGCAUGUGCGUGUAGUCCCAGCUACUCGGGAGGCUGAUGUGGGAGAAUUGCUUGAACCCAGGAGGCAAAGGUUGCAGUGAGCCAAGACCAUGCCAUUGCACACCAGCCUGGGUGACAGAGUAAGACUGUCUCGAAAAGGAAAAAAGAAAUGAAAGUUCUGGAUAGUUUAUUAAUAUAUUUAAGGAAAACUAAUGCUAGAGUUUUAUUUUGCCUUAUAGGUUCAGUAAUAAAAAGAUUAACAAAGUUUUCAUAAGAUAAUCUAAUAUUUUUCUAUAGCACUCCCUUUGAUUGGGCCACAGAUUUUGAUUUGACUUGUACACACACACACCUGUAAACAUGUGAUGUUUAUGGGUGGUUAACUAUAUAUUUAACUUUAUAUGUAUAAGUACCUAACCGUACAUUUAAAAAAAAUAUUUACUUAAGAAAGCAUUAUGUGCUAGAUUAUAAUUUUUUUAAAGUGUUGUAUCUCUAUAUUUUUUCUCAGUGUGUAUAUAUUUUACUUUUUAAAUACCAGUAAUAUGGUAAAAUUUCUAAGGCUUAUGUCUCCAUUUGCUUAGGACUUCAUAACUGUAUAUCCUUUAAGGCUAAGUAUUGAUUGACACAAAGAAAGCCCUGGGAACCUAUUAAUGUAUAGUAUUAUACAUGGAUACUGUUGAUAUUCU